CAGAUUUCUCUCUCUGGACCUUGAACGUCUCCGUUCUUCAGGACUGUCCAGCGUAUCCUGGGACGUAUGCCUUUGUCCUUCGCCGUGUCUACUGUGAAUCUGGAGGUCUCGUUCCUCAGGUGUUCUGAUCUGUGAUGUCUCUAAGUCCCCAGGCGUGUCUGCAUUGAUUACAGUGACCCUUGAAUGCACCAGGCUCUCCCCAGGUCCCCAGAUGUGUCUACCCUGAUACGUGAUGUCCCCUGAGUUCCCCUGUUUCUAUUUUGAUGUGGAAUGUCUAC